CACGUAGGGGGCAAGCGUUGUCCGGAUUUAUUGUGCGUAAAGAGCUCGUCGGCGUCUCAGUAAGUCAGGUGUGAAACCUCCAGGCUCAACCUGGAGACGCCACCUGAUACUGCUGUGGCUAGAGUCCGGUAGGGGAGCGUGGAAUUCCUGGUGUAGCGGUGAAAUGCGCAGAUAUCAGGAGGAACACCAGCGGCGAAGGCGGCGCUCUGGGCCGGAACUGACGCUGAGGAGCGAAAGCGUGGGUAGCAAACAGG
rnacentral:rRNA from 1 species